rnacentral:rRNA from 1 species
GACGAACGCUGGCGGCGUGCUUAAUACAUGCAAGUCGAACGGAAAGGCCCUGCUUGCAGGGUGCUCGAGUGGCGAACGGGUGAGUAACACGUGGGUGAUCUGCCCCUUAUUUUGGGAUAAGCCUGGGAAACUGGGUCUAAUACUGGAUAGGACCAUGCUGUAGGUGGUGUGGUGGAAAGAUUAGUUUCGGUAAGGGAUGAGCUCGCGGCCUAUCAGCUUGUUGGUGGGGUAAUGGCCUACCAAGGCGUCGACGGGUAGCCGGCCUGAGAGGGUGGACGGCCACAUUGGGACUGAGAUACGGCCCAGACUCCUACGGGAGGCAGCAGUGGGGAAUAGUGCACAAUGGGCGCAAGCCUGAUGCAGCGACGCCGCGUGGGGGAUGACGGCCUUCGGGUUGUAAACUCCUUUCAGCCAUGACGAAGCCCUUGUGGUGACGGUAGUGGUAGAAGAAGCACCGGCUAACUACGUG